rnacentral:rRNA from 1 species
GUUAAGAUGUUAAGGGCAUAUGGUGGAUGCCUUGGCGUCAGGAGGCGAUGAAGGACGUGAAGCUGCCGAUAAGCCUCGGUGAGCCGUCAAAAGGCUUUGAUCCAGGAUUUGAAUGGGGCAACCUGGCUAGAGUAAUGUUCAGUCAUCCUUAGGCUGAAUACAUAGGCCUUUGAAAGCGAACUCGGGGAAGUGAAACAUCUCAGUACCCGAAGGCAGAAGAAAUCAAGAGAGAUUCCGUCAGUAGCGGCGAGCGAACGCGGACUAGCCUAAACCGGCGUAGUUCGGGCCAAGGGGUUAGAAAUUCCGAUACGUGAUCCGUAUAGAUAGCAGAACGGUUCGAAAGUCCGGCCAUGGCGAGGAUAGCCUGUAUGAAAUCAAAGCGGCAAUAAUAGGGUACCUGAGUAGGGCGGGACACGAAACCCGUUUGAAUCUGGGAGGACCAUCUUCCAAGGCUAAAUACCCUGACGACCGAUAGUGUACCAGUACCGUGAGGUAAGAAAAGAACCCUGUUAGGGGAGUGAAUAGAACCCGAAAACCGUAUGCCUACAAGCAGUGGCACCUUGAUGACCGCGUGCCUUUGCAUACGGGCCAUGAGUUAAUUCAGAAAAAGUGAGGUUAAGCCGAUGAGGUGUAGCUGUAGCGAAAGCGAGUCUUAAAUGGGCGAUCAGUACUGCGGACCUGCCGCAAGUGAUCUAUCUACGAGCAGGUUGAAGCUUAAGUUCAAGGAGGACCAAACCGUUGUGUUGAAAAUUACUGGAUGACUUGUGAUAGGGGUGAAAGGCCAAUCAAACCCUGGUGAUAGCUGGUUCUCUCGAAACAGGUUGAGGUAUAGCCUCGUGAGUUUACGGAGGUAGAGCACUGACAGGGCUAGGGGGCUUAAAUUGGUACCAAAACCCUCUUUCAAACUCCGAAUGCCAUAAGUCCAUAUCCUGGGAGUCAGACUGCGGGAGAUAAGGUUCGUAGUCGAGAGGGAAAGAGCCCAGACCGACAGCUAAGGCCCCCAAAUCCAUACUAAGUGGAAAGGAGGUGAAGCACAGACAGCCAGGAGGUUGGCUUAGAAGCAGCCACCCUUUAAAGAAAGCGUAAUAGCUCACUGGUCGAGCGACUUGCGCCGAAAAUGUACCGCUGGGUAUGGUGCCGAAGCUUCGGAAUCCGGCUCACUUCCGGCCGGUAGGUGCACCCCAUCUGGGAUGAAGGUAGAUUAAAGUCUGCUGGACUGAUGGAAGUGAAUAUGCUGGCAUGAGUAACGAAAACAGGUGAAAACCUGUUCGCCGUAAACCCAAGGUUUCUGGCAAAAGCACUUCCCAGGGGUGCGAGUCACUAAGGCGAGGCUGAAAGCGUAGUUGAUGGGAAACGGGUUAAUAUUCGUACCGUAAGUCUGUUCUAGAACUGAGAUGUGGACGGCGGAAGGCAGGUCAUCCGGGUGUUGAUAUCCCGGUGUAAGCUUGUGAUGAUAGUAAACUACCCUUUAUCCUAUAAAGCGAUGUGUCAAAGACUGAAGUGAUUGAGCCUCACUGCCGAGAAAACCUCGGUGAAUCUAUGGAGACCGUACUGUAAACCGACACAGGUGGUGGGUGAGCAACCCAAAGGCGUUUUGAGAGAACUCUGGUUGGGAACUCUGGCAAAAUUACCCCGUAACUUCGGAGUAAGGAAGCAAAUUUCGGUGAUCGUAUUUACUGUGUGAGCUGAAGUGGGGUCGCAGAGAAAUGGCGGUGGCGACUGUUUACUAAAAACAGGACUCUGCUGUCGUAAGACGACGUAGGGUCUGACGCCUGCCCGUGCUGGAAGGUUAAGAGGAGGUGUCAUGCAAGCAAAGCCGAAUUGAAGCCCCAGUAAACGGCGCACCGCUAACGGUCCUAAGGUAGCGAAAUUUUGUCGGGUAAGUUCCGACCUGCACGAAUGGCGUAAUUAUCUCCGCAACUGUCUUCGACCCUCAGAGACUCAGUGAAAUUGAAUUUCGGUGAAGAUGUCGCCCCCGCAGAAAGACGGGAAAGACCCCUGCACCUUACUAUAGCUUGACAUUGGAUCUUGAACUAUCAUGUAGGAUAGGUGGGAGGCUCAGAAGUGGGCACGCUAGUAAUCCGUGGAGUCAACUCCUUGAAAUACCCUUGGUAGUUUAGGCUUAACCCAACGCCGUGAUCCGGGUUUGAGACAGUGUCUGGUGGGUAGUUUGAUCGGAGUGGUCGCCUCCCAAAGAGUAACGAGGCGCGCAAAGUCCCUCGAAAGGCUGAUUAAAACCAGUCGAGGCAAACGCAUAAGGGAGCUUGACUGCGGCGACAGAGGCGUACGGCGCAGGUGUUAGCAUCCGGUGGUCCCGCAUGGAAGGGCCAUCGCUCAACGGAUAAAAGGCAAUGCCAGGAUAACAGGCUGAUCGCAUCCAAGAGUUCACAUCGACGAUGCGGUUUGCACCCUCGAUGUCGGCUCAUCACAUCCUGGGGCUGG